CUUAGUUUCUUUAGAGGUACCCCACACCCAUCUAAAUGCUCAAAAUACCAUCUUCAGUUUUCAAGUCUGGCUUCCUUCUUCCCUGUGACCUCAGCUUCUCCUUGGCAGAGUGAGUCUUCAGGGGAUGUAAAGAACUGGAGGACUCAAUAUAAGACAUAAAAAAGGAAGAAGAAAAGAUUGGAUGAGUCCAUUAUCAG